CAGAGAUUUCUGCCCGGAAGACGGCAGUGGUUUGGGGGUGCCGGUGCUCAUCGCGCUGCUGUUGUUUGAUCGUGCAGUGACCAUGAGGAGGUUACCCCAUGUGACUCUACCCUCCCUAACAACCGGACCAAUUCGGUUGCUUAGGAGACCUGGCUGGAUUCACUCAGCGCGUCCUGGAUUCUAACUCACGACUCCAGAUACAUGCAGAAGAAGAACACUUCCGUCCAUGUGCGAGCAAUGUGGAGCUACACGCUUGUAUGAGACAGUCUAGUGACGUGAUGCAUCAACAUGUGUGGGAGAUUAUCAAAAUUUGUUCUGACUCUGAUUAUUCACAACAUAUUUUUUUACAGCACAUCCUUCAAAAACACGGGGAGGGUGUGGAGAGCGACCAAUCAGGAUACACUCUCUGUCACUCAUGCUGCGUCUGAAGACGCCACCCAUCGCAUUUUCUGAGCACAUCGCCACCUACUGGGCAAUAAGGAGAAUUUAUAGUAAAAAGGACUUAAAGUUUUGGAUCCUGUAGACUUGCAUUGAAUGGACCAACAGAGCUAAGAUAUUCUUCUAAAAAAAUUAUUUUGUGUUCAGCUAAAGAAAGAAAGUUGUACACAUCUGGGAUGGCAUGAGGAUUCAGAUGUGAAAAGGAAAGUCUUCCUUGGUUUGUUAUAUCCAGAAGGAUUCAUGAUGAAUGCAGACUGCACCA